GUACCACUGUACCAGGUUUCUGACACCUAUUCAUCAGAAGCUCUUCAAGAAGCUUUGUGGUUUCUUAUGCAUGUGCAGAAUAAUUUUAGUUCCACCGAUUUUAAGAAACAUUACGCCCUCAGAUGUGACCUCAUGUCUCCUUGUCCAUUUAGACCACCUUUGCUUCUCAUAUUUGUAUUCCCAGUUAGGUGCUGACAAAUCAAAGCACCCCUUUCAUCCCUUCUAAUUCUUAUUAAAUGAGUUUCCUCUCUUUGCCACUAAGUAACCUAUUGUUUCAAUUUACAGUUCAUUACAUUAUGGUUGUCUGGGUUUUUAUUAGUAACAGUAGUAUUUCUUUUAAUCAAUUUUUUCAGCCAAGGCUAUGUGUUUUAAAAAAAUCAAUGAGUAAAGACAAUACACAAUUAUUUAUAUGGCUGUUGCCUCUGUUGUAAUGUAAUAUUAUUACCAUCUAAAUGCUUGCAGAGCGUUCAGGCAGCCAAGGUCUGUGCCACAUGCUCUUCACUGCUGGAGCCCUGGAGUAUUGUUUUUGAAAGCUGUUUAUUCCUAAAUACUCCUGAUGAUAAUACAAAUGCCACCAAUGUGGUUUCAAGCACUACAGAAGAAAGGAACAGAGGGGCUCGUAUUGUUUCAGAUAUGGCACUGAGCCUUCAAAAUGUGUCUGGAAGAGAGGCAGGCAGGCAGCAGGGGCUGAUUAAGAGAGAAACAGGGUGAUAAAACCAAGUAGAAAAUUGAUCUGCAAAGCUUGCAAGUUUAUUUGUAAAAUUCCCCUCCAGCGGCAAAGCUUAGCCUCUGAAUAAGAAUGUUCCACCAAGACUGAGAUUAACCCUUGAAAGGCUUGAUUGGUCUGAUUCCCCUUUGUUUCCCAUUAAAGAUCUUUUAUCUAUGCUUCUUACCCUGAAAUCCUAUGUGUCAUUACUAGAAAGUAAGCCACAUUGAAAUCAGUGGGACUUACUUCUAGGUAAACAUCUCUGGAGCAGAAAUUCUUUGGCAGCAGGAAGAAAUCAUCCAUAAUUUUUGGCAUUCGGUGUAGAUUCUGAAAGGGAGGUGGAAGAAUUCACCUGCAGAUGUAAAGCCAUUGCUGUAAAAGGCUGGAUCAAUACCAAAGCAAACAGAACACCCAUUUCUUGCAUUUUAGAGGUAGGCACAAUUACAAAUAUCGUUUUUAAAAAUUGAAUGUGUCUCUGUGUCAACAUUAUGCUGAACACGCAUAAGAGGAUCAAGGCCAAUAAGCACAAUCCUAUCUCUGUUGCACAUGUUCAGGGUAUGUUCAAGUAACAUGCCUAAAGAGAAGAGAGUAAAUGAGAUGCAGAGGGGAAGGAGAAUUUUCCUUGGUGCAAAGCAGGGACAGUGAACAGACUGCAAGUUUUGGGUAAUGAAUUGGGCAGAAUAUAUUUCCUUUUCCUCAAAAAGGAAUAUUGUGGAUCUUUUUUUCAGUAAAUAACUGUAUUAGAAGUAGCAGCUGUUGAAAGAAACUUGCAGAAACAAGCUGGGAGGGCAGAGAGGGUUGUGUGAAAUAAUUCAGACCUGCUCGUCGUUGUUUUUUACUGCUGAGUUCAGUGUGGGUUGCUUGAAUGUCUUUGAAAUGCUGCAUCAGUGUUGCUAUUGGCUGUUGCCACUAGCUUCCCUUGCCUGACUGGCAUGCAAGGUGUUUGCCUUUCAGUCUGGGGCAUAUUCAUAUCUGUGUCAUCUGCCACCCACUAGCAGAAGAAGCAGUGAGCGUCUGUUAAGCACAGUGUUAACUCUCCAAAAGUGUAAUGUGCCCAGCAAGGCUCUGGCAUAAAAACCUAGGGAAUCUUUGCCUAAACAUGGGAAGAAACACACGUGGAUAUGUAGGAAGAGUAAUACAAGGGACACUUUUGAUGUAAAAAUGAAAUGCAUCGUUUGGUUGAGGUCUGAAAGCAGACAACCAUAUCUGGCAUGCACAAAACACACACACCCUCUUUAUCAGUAAGGCAUCAGCGUUCUUUUUAACCAUGGGAUUAAUUUGUGUUUAUUCACUAUUUUAACACACAUGGAAUAAGACCAGCUGUGUUUGUAAUGAGUCAAGAAAGAUAUGGGGUGGAAUGCAACAUAGCAAUAGCACUAAGGAGAUUGUUCCAUCAGCCCUGCAUUUGUGCCUGCCCAAGGGGCAAUGGUCUCCCCUCUCCUCCCACCCCCAUUGUUCUGAUGGUUCUCCAACCCCCCUAGAGUGGACUUGAAGGAGGCACAGGGGGCUCGCAGAGGGUGUGGGAAGCCCUGUUGCACGGGCAAGAGGCCUUGUGCUGGCUUCUGCCAGCAGGACCAGGUGGCUGAAUCCAGCCCAUAGUUUUCUGCAACACAUAAAUGCACUACAGUCAGCUUUGCCUGUGACUUUCUCCAGUAGGAGGGUUUAGGGUGGAAAUAAACUUUGCCCCCUGCCCCAGAAAGUAAUGAAAGGACAGGGCCACGAUAUCUGAUCUGCCUGAAAAAUCUUAUUUCCACAGCUUCCUAAUGCAACUGUCCUUUGGAUGUUUUUUUAAAAAGCCCUAAGUUGAAUGUCAGUGGAGAUGGAAAUACUCCGACUGUUUUCUGUAUGUAUCCAUUUUUAAUCCAUGAUUUGCGGCCAUUCAUUAUCUUUUGCAGAGAUUGCCCUGUUUACAGGACUCUUGUCUUCUUGUGAGCCGCACAGACCAAUUUGCCUAGUGCUCUAAUAUGCCGCUCAUCCGCAGCCCACUUCUAAGCAGUGAAAGUUUGAGGGAGGUGGUGCUCAUCCAGGCUGCCAUUUCCUUUGGGAAAAGGUCACAGUGAGCUUGUGGCAUUUUGUAAAACUGGAGAUUCAUCUCAUUAACACUCAACCAGAUUUUGCUCCCCUAUCAAAGUUGGCCCAUGGGGAGUGGGGGGCGGGGAACAAGCCUCUGGCUGACCCACUGGAUCCAUUUUCCCAUGCCUGCUUUACGCAAACCAAAGUAGCACAUUCUUUAAGGAGUGGGGAGAGAAAGAUUAAGCCCCUUUCCAAAACAGUCCCAUUACCAUAAUUGAAAAAGCUGGUUUCCAUAUUGUUGUUUGCAUCCACCUGACUUGUGAGACAAUGGAAGAAUGCACCUUUGGAGGGAAAGUCAAGCCACUGGAGAGUUAUAGCACCUGCUGUGGCUGCAGAGACUGAUACGGGAGAGACAUGUUUUAUGGCAGGUGGGGCAGGUGAAGGCAUCCAGUUUUUGCUGCUGCAGGUGCACCAGGGCGUUUCUUCUCUCUCUAAUCCACCAAGUUAAACAUGUCCAAGUAGUUUGACCUCCUUAACAGUCUCUUUUAACAAAAACAGAGUCGCAGAAUUGAGGGGAAUCCUUGUGAGAGCAUUCAAAUCAACUCCAAUCACAUAACAAUUGCACGGUAAUGCUUUUUUUGCCAACUCAAGUGCAUAUGAAGUGUUCCUCAAUGAAUAGAGAACCUGAUUUAUUUUUUAUUUAUUUUUUACACUAUCAUAAAUAGCAUCUUUUAAAAUUUAAAUUCUCAGAGCUAUUUGUCGGUUUAGUAGCCAUUUCUUGUCAUUUUGUUUAUGCUAGAGACAAGGAAAAUCAAUGAUGGCAUUCACAGCAGACACCUAAGAUAUGCAGAUCAAAUCUAGGACAUUAAAAUUCAAAUUCCAUGGACCAUCUUCUCUUUCUUUCUUUCUCUCUCUCUCUCUCUCUCUCAAAUACACACACUCCCCCCUUCAUCUUCCUCUGUCUCCUCUCACUUUAUCUGGUGAGGGGGAACUGUUGCCAUAGCAAUAACAUCUUAAAGUUUUCCAGAAGUGCUAGAGGAAUAAUUUUCUUUCCUGCUCCUCCUUAACAGUUCAGGAAAAUGGAGCUUAUUACAGAGAAAAUUCUUUUUCUUUGUGAUUUGAUCGGAGAUGAGCCGAGUAUUUUGCAGUCUCGAGGAAAGUUGCCUUCUCUGUGAUGAGAAACCCAGCUGGGCUGCCCACUGCUGCAAUUGGUCUGACCUAAAAUGGCUCGUGUCUCUUUUGUUGCUGAUUUGGACAGUAGGAUUUUGACCAGCCAGCAGAUUCUAAAUGGGAGACGAGAGGAGGGCAGGCUACAAGCCACCCACAAAAUAGGUAAACCUACUGAGAUAAACAGACUGAGCAGCAGAGAGUACAAACAGAUCUAAUGUCUCCCACUUCUGCGACAGCUGUGGUGUAUGUAUUCUGCUUCUGAAGAAAAACAGUUUUAGGCAUCGAUUUUGGGUGGGCUCCACAUGCCUCGUAAAGAAGGCGAGGGGCAUGAUUGGAGUCAUCCUGUAUCUGUAUUCAACAAGCAGCCCCAGCACCUGUAAGCUCUUAGGCAGUGUUCCUCAGUGGCUGUGUCCAUGAUACUUUAUCCCAUGUGCUCAAGAUUCCUGUCUUUCUUCUUAUUCCAGACUUACUCUUUUAUAGGCAGGUCUCCAUAAAUCACUCAGGCCUAAUGAAAACCAUAAGCAAGUGUUUAAGCACUCUGGGAACUAUAGUUCAAUCAGUGGAAUAGGGGAGGCCUCCUAACAACUCUCAGCACCCAUAGCAAACCACAGUUCCCAGAAUUCUUUGGGGGACACCAUGACUGUUUAAAAUGGCAUGGUACUGCUUUAAAUGUAUGGUAUGGAUGGGGCCAUUGUUUCACUAGGAACCCAAGCUGAUCUUGCUAGCCUGAAGUUGUGCCAUCAGUUGUCCUUUCUCAUCCCUCAUGUAUUGUUUCAGGAGGUUGUUUUCCAAAUCUACAAUUGCUUCAGUUGCAUUUUUUGUUUCUUAUAAUUCAACACCUGUUGACCUUCCACUUAAAACUUGGCAAGACGACAGGGAGGAGGCAAGGGGUGUAGCCAGGACCGAGAAACAUUGGGGCAAGUACGGGAUGGAGAAGGAAGAACUCACAGGGUGAUGGAGAAUGGUGAAGGGAUGGGGAUCCGUGCACAGGAACCAGAACCCAUAACCAGAGCCAGAGAGGCCCCUAUCUCCAUGACCACAGUGGGCUCUGAGGUGGGAGGAACACUCUAGAAGGCUGAGGCAAUCGAGGGCCCACAGCCCAGCUUCCUAGUGCUAGAAGGAGGCGUGUGAUUCCUCAGCUGGAGUAGGUUUAGCACAGGUGAAGGUCCCAUGCCUCAUCAAAGCCCAGAUGCUGCAAUAGGCAGAGCUGAACUGCUGUUACUCAACUGCCCAUGUUGAGGGACCUUGUUUUGGAUGUUGUUGGACCUCUACCGGACUGGGUUUGGGGUUUGAUUCUGGGCUGUAUCCUGACUGCUGGACUUCAGACUUGGCUACUUGGAUUGACCUUGGACUGUGUUUCCUGACCUUUGGAUUUUGCUUGUGUGGCUUGACCUCCAGACUUUGAACUUUGGACGACAUGCUGACUUGUUGCCAGGUAGGCCCAGGCGUUCAAAACACAAGAUCUCUUUUACACUUGGAAUUGUAUUUCUGUUUGAGAAUAGUAUAUGUGGUACAUAGCUGUCAACUUUUCCCUUUUCUUGCGAGGAAUCCUAUUCGGAAUAAGGGAAUUUCCCUUUAAAAAAGGGAAACAUUGACAGCUCUGAUGUGGUAUCCCCAGAAUCCGAGGCAAAUGAUGGAAACAGUUUUCUAUAUAUUCCUAAUUCUUAGAGGAUAGUAUCCUUUUUUUCUGACCUGUUUUGGUUGGGGUUUUUUCUCUUGGUGGAGUUAUUACUUUGGACUAUUGCUGGUUGGUUUAGGACUAAUGGACAGUCCUGCUUCAGGAGCAAAUGGGAAGAGCUGACAAGAAAGGUCAAUUGAAUGUUUGUCUUUAAAGUACACCUCACUUAAUAUUCUCCUCACUACUCUCACAUUUAAUUAUAGGUUUUGGCAUUGUUUUGGUUUUGCUAGGUAAAGCAUAAGGAUGGAAUUAUCCAAUUCUUGCAUCCUAGAAAUGAUUUCAUUUUUUUAUUUCUGUCCCAAGUGUUGAUAUAAAACAUUCAUGUUAUUUUUUUUCACCUACAAUGUUUGCUUUAGCAACCUGUCUUUCAAAUAUGCAACUAUUUCAGAAGCAUUUUGUGCUUUAAUAAUUCAGUCACCCAUUGACUUUUCACUUAAAACCUGGCUAGCCCCUUUUUAACACUUCAAAUAUAUAAUUGGCUCAGGGCCAGUUUACACAUUUCUUUCCAAGUCUGUAAAAUCUGCACACAGUGACUUUACCACCUCAUUUAUCUGAAAUAGCUCCUGUGUGACAUAUUUUCAGAGAUGCCGUAUCAGAGAAAAUGCUAGGUUUGAAAUAUUUUCUCUCAUAUUGUAAGUUCUGCAAUUUUUAUGUGGGGGCUCUUUCAGGUGGGGGAGGAAAGCUGCCCCCAUAAGAAAAAUUUAAGUCAACUUUACCAUCUCAUAAAGGACCAUACCACAUUUAAAGGAUAUGGUAUCUCCUGGACCCAAGAUUUUGCCAUCUGUGGGGCAGGAUGCACUCAAAAUCAUUGUAGACAGUGGUUUGGUAGAUGAUAUAUGUUUGUGUGAAAAUGAGUGAAAUGGGUGUGUAUGUGACAGCAGACUACGGGGGAGAGUGGAUGUGUGAGAGGGAAUGGGUAUUUGCUGUCUAUGAGGAGGAUGAAGGGAGAGAGAUUGAAUCUUUGUGUGAGGACGAGUGAGGCUAGGGUUGUUAUGAGGCACUGCAAAGAAAGAAUAUGUGCCAGAAGUGUGUCACUGGGUGGAGCAGAGUCACGGUACUAGCCUAGUUUCCUGGCUGGUGGGUUGCUGCUGCUUACUAGGAGAGAGAGAAGGGAGGGACAAGAUGCCACAGAGGUUGGCAUAGUGCGAACACAUGGGCAGGAGUAAUAGAAUGGAUGUGUUGGUGCAUGUGCACCAUGGGCAGGAGUAAUAGAAUGGAUGUGUUGGUGCAUGUGCACCAUGCUUUGGAUUCUUAGAUCACGGACUGCAGUUUCUUGAAGAUGGACUUCUGGCAAGCGAUGGGCUGCACCUCACAAUGGUUGGGAGGAAUGUUUUUGCCAAAAAUCUCAGAAACCUCAUCAGGAGGGCUUUAAACUGACUAAUGUGGGGGAGGAGACAGUGCUCCUGAAGGUAGGAGUCUAUCAAUUGAUGAAGAUGAUCAUCCAAAUGUCAUAGCCCAAAUGGAGCAAAUAGCACGCAGACCUAGUGGUGGGAGGAAAAAAUCCUUAAAUAAGAGA